CCUACGGGCGGCAGCAGUCGAGAAUCAUUCACAAUGGGGGAAACCCUGAUGGUGCGACGCCGCGUGGGGGAAUGAAGGUCUUCGGAUUGUAAACUCCUGUCAUGUGGGAGCAAAUUAAAAAGAUAGUACCACAUGAGGAAUAGACGGCUAACUCUGUGCCAGCAGCCGCGGUAAUACAGAGGUCUCAAGCGUUGUUCGGAAUCACUGGGCGUAAAGCGUGCGUAGGCUGUUUCGUAAGUCGUGUGUGAAAGGCGCGGGCUCAACCCGCGGAUGGCACAUGAUACUGGAAGACUAGAGUAAUGGAGGGGGAAGCGGAAUUCUCGGUGUAGCAGUGAAAUGCGUAGAUAUCGAGAGGAACACUCGUGGCGAAGGCGGGUUCCUGGACAUUAACUGACGCUGAGGCACGAAGGCCAGGGGAGCGAAAGGGAUUAGAUACCCUGGUAGUC
rnacentral:rRNA from 1 species